CUCGAGGGUAUAAAAAUUUCAGAAAAAAAAUAAACAUUUGUUUUUCAUUACAAAUUUUAUUUAUUACCUUUUGUAGUUGUUACUUUAUCAUAUGGUACAAAAAUCAUUCAAAGCUAUCAAUUCGUGUUAGCCCCAGAUGACUUUUAAAAUGUAUACAUCAUUGAAAAAGUUCCAAAUUAUCUCCCUUUGGUGGAAAAUGUUCAUUUUUUGCUUUAAAAUUGAAAUAUCUUUUUUAACUCAUCGGUGACCUAUAUUUUUUAAUAUAAUUUCCAUAUAAGCUGUACUUAAACUAAAUUAUUGUAAAAUUUGAGCGAUUUCUGUAAUCAAUUUCUUUUUUUAUUUCGAUAUCAUCUUUAUUUCUUCUAUUACUUCAACAGAAAAAAAAACACCUUUACAAAAAUGUAUGCUUCUUUCGAAGGCAGAUUGUGAGCGCAAAUGAA
rnacentral:lncRNA from 1 species